GACGAACGCUGGCGGCGUGCUUAACACAUGCAAGUCGAACGAAGAGCGAUGGAAGCUUGCUUCUAUCAAUCUUAGUGGCGAACGGGUGAGUAACGCGUAAUCAACCUGCCCUUCAGAGGGGGACAACAGUUGGAAACGACUGCUAAUACCGCAUACGAUCCAAUCUCGGCAUCGGGACUGGAUGAAAGGUGGCCUCUAUUUAUAAGCUAUCACUGAAGGAGGGGAUUGCGUCUGAUUAGCUAGUUGGAGGGGUAACGGCCCACCAAGGCGAUGAUCAGUAGCCGGUCUGAGAGGAUGAACGGCCAAAUUGGGACUGAGACACGGCCCAGACUCCUACGGGAGGCAGCAGUGGGGAAUCUUCCGCAAUGGACGAAAGUCUGACGGAGCAACGCCGCGUGAGUGAUGACGGCCUUCGGGUUGUAAAGCUCUGUUAAUCGGGACGAAUGGUUCUUGUGCGAAUAGUGCGAGGAUUUGACGGUACCGGAAUAGAAAGCCACGGCUAACUACGUG
rnacentral:rRNA from 1 species